rnacentral:rRNA from 2 species
UACGUAGGCAGCAAACGUUGUUCGGAGUUACUGGGCGUAAAGAGUACGUAGGCGGUUUGCCAAGUUUGGUGUGAAAUCUCCUGGCUUAACUGGGAGGGUGCGCCGAAUACUGGCAGACUUGAGUAUUGGAGAGGAAAGCGGAAUUCCUGGUGUAGCGGUGAAAUGCGUAGAUAUCAGGAGGAACACCGGUGGUGUAGACGGCUUUCUGGACAAUCACUGACGCUGAGGUACGAAAGCGUGGGUAGCAAACAGG